GUGUUUACUUUGCAGCAGAUAUACUGAAACUGAAAUGAUAAAGAGAAAAUUAAUAGGACCUCUAUGCUAAUAUGAUAUGCAAAUUCAUGAAGGGUUCCACAUUCAA